GAUGAACGUAGCGAAAUGCGAUACGUAAUGUGAAUUGCAAAUUCAGUGAAUCAUCGAGUCUUUGAACGCACAUUGCGCCCCCUGGUAUUCCGGGGGGCAUGCCUGUCCGAGCGUCAUUGCUGCCCUCAAGCACGGCUUGUGUGUUGGGCCCCGUCCUCCGAUCCCGGGGGACGGGCCCGAAAGGCAGCGGCGGCACCGCGUCCGGUCCUCGAGCGUAUGGGGCUUUGUCACCCGCUCUGUAGGCCCGGCCGGCGCUUGCCGAUCAACCCAAAUUUUUAUCCAGGUUGACCUCGGAUCAGGUAGGGAUACCCGCUGAACUUAAGCAUAUCAAUAAGCGGAGGA
rnacentral:misc_RNA from 1 species